rnacentral:rRNA from 1 species
GGCGGACGGGUGAGUAACGCGUGGGUAACCUGCCUUGUACUGGGGGACAACAGUUGGAAACGACUGCUAAUACCGCAUAAGCGCACAGCUUCGCAUGAAGCAGUGUGAAAAACUCCGGUGGUACAAGAUGGACCCGCGUCUGAUUAGCUGGUUGGUGAGGUAACGGCCCACCAAGGCAACGAUCAGUAGCCGGCCUGAGAGGGUGAACGGCCACAUUGGGACUGAGACACGGCCCAAACUCCUACGGGAGGCAGCAGUGGGGAAUAUUGCACAAUGGGGGAAACCCUGAUGCAGCAACGCCGCGUGAGUGAAGAAGUAUUUCGGUAUGUAAAGCUCUAUCAGCAGGAAAGAAAAUGACGGUACCUGACUAAGAAGCCCCGGCUAACUACGUGCCAGCAGCCGCGGUAAUACGUAGGGGGCAAGCGUUAUCCGGACUUACUGGGUGUAAAGGGAGCGUAGACGGUUUUGCAAGUCUGAAGUGAAAGCCCGGGGCUUAACCCCGGGACUGCUUUGGAAACUGUAGAACUAGAGUGCAGGAGAGGUAAGUGGAAUUCCUAGUGUAGCGGUGAAAUGCGUAGAUAUUAGGAGGAACACCAGUGGCGAAGGCGGCUUACUGGACUGUAACUGACGUUGAGGCUCGAAAGCGUGGGGAGCAAACAGGAUUAGAUACCCUGGUAGUCCACGCCGUAAACGAUGAUUACUAGGUGUUG